GACGAACGCUGGCGGCGUGCCUAACACAUGCAAGUCGAGCGAAGUUAUUCCUUCGGGGAUAACUUAGCGGCGGACGGGUGAGUAACACGUGGGUAACCUGCCUUAUAGAGGGGGAUAGCCUUCCGAAAGGAAGAUUAAUACCGCAUAACAUCAGAUUCUCGCAUGGGAAUUUGAUCAAAGGAGCAAUCCGCUAUAGGAUGGACCCGCGGCGCAUUAGCUAGUUGGUGAGGUAACGGCUCACCAAGGCGACGAUGCGUAGCCGACCUGAAAGGGGGAACGGCCACAUUGGAGCUGAGAGAUGGCCCAGACUCCUACGGGAGGCAGCAGUGGGGAAUAUUGCACAAUGGGGGAAACCCUGAUGAAGCAACGCCGCGUGAGUGAUGAAGGCCUUCGGGUUGUAAAGCUCUGUCUUUGGGGACGAUAAUGACGGUACCCAAGGAGGAAGCCACGGCUAACUACGUGCCAGCCGCCGCAGUAA
rnacentral:rRNA from 1 species